rnacentral:rRNA from 1 species
CAAUAGCGUAUAUUAAAGUUGUUGCAGUUAAAAAGCUCGUAGUUGGAUUUUUGGUGGGAGCGAUCGGUCUGGCGCUUAGCGCGAGUACUUGCAUCGUCUCCGGCCAUCCUUGGGGAGAGUCUGUCUGGCAUUAGGUUGUCGGGCAGAGGAUCCUCAUCGUUUACUGUGAAAAAAUUAGAGUGUUCAAAGCAGGCUUAUGCCGUUGAAUAUAUUAGCAUGGAAUAAUAAGAUAGGACUUUGGUACUAUUUUGUUGGUUUGCGCACCAAAGUAAUGAUUAAUAGGGACAGUUGGGGGUAUUCGUAUUCCGUUGUCAGAGGUGAAAUUCUUGGAUUUACGGAAGACGAACUACUGCGAAAGCAUUUACCAAGGAUGUUUUCAUUAA